UACGUAGGGCGCAAGCGUUAUCCGGAAUUACUGGGCGUAAAGCGUGCGCAGGCGGUUUUGUAAGCCAGGUGUGAAAUCCCCGGGCUCAACCUGGGAAUGGCAUUUGGGACUGCAAGGCUGGAGUGUGGCAGAGGAGACUGGAAUUCCUGGUGUAGCAGUGAAAUGCGUAGAUAUCAGGAGGAAUACCGAUGGCGAAGGCAGGUCUCUGGGCUGACACUGACGCUCAUGCACGAAAGCGUGGGGAGCAAACAGG
rnacentral:rRNA from 1 species